UAGAGUUUUGAUCAUGGCUCAGAGUGAACGCUGGCGGUAGGCCUAACACAUGCAAGUCGAACGGCAGCACAGGAGAGCUUGCUCUCUGGGUGGCGAGUGGCGGACGGGUGAGGAAUACAUCGGAAUCUACUUUUUCGUGGGGGAUAACGUAGGGAAACUUACGCUAAUACCGCAUACGACCUACGGGUGAAAGCAGGGGAUCUUCGGACCUUGCGCGAUUGAAUGAGCCGAUGUCGGAUUAGCUAGUUGGCGGGGUAAAGGCCCACCAAGGCGACGAUCCGUAGCUGGUCUGAGAGGAUGAUCAGCCACACUGGAACUGAGACACGGUCCAGACUCCUACGGGAGGCAGCAGUGGGGAAUAUUGGACAAUGGGCGCAAGCCUGAUCCAGCCAUACCGCGUGGGUGAAGAAGGCCUUCGGGUUGUAAAGCCCUUUUGUUGGGAAAGAAAUCCAGCUGGCUAAUACCCGGUUGGGAUGACGGUACCCAAAGAAUAAGCACCGGCUAACUUCGUGCCAGCAGCCGCGGUAAUACGAAGGGUGCAAGCGUUACUCGGAAUUACUGGGCGUAAAGCGUGCGUAGGUGGUCGUUUAAGUCCGUUGUGAAAGCCCUGGGCUCAACCUGGGAACUGCAGUGGAUACUGGGCGACUAGAGUGUGGUAGAGGGUAGCGGAAUUCCUGGUGUAGCAGUGAAAUGCGUAGAGAUCAGGAGGAACAUCCAUGGCGAAGGCAGCUACCUGGACCAACACGAC
rnacentral:rRNA from 1 species